AACAUGUAAUCACAACCGGGCGUCGGGGGGGUCGGGUGCGAGCCCGAGCCCUGCGAUGCCUCGUCGGCGUGCGUACAUGGUGCCCCUUACGAGGCAUUGUGGACGUCGCGUCGGCACGAAAACAAAACCCCGGCACGGCAUGUGCCAAGGAAAACAAAACUCAAGAAGGGCGCGUCCCGUGUCGCCCCCGUUUGCGGUGUGCGCAUGGGACGUGGCCUCUCACCAACCAUAAACGACUCUCGGCAACGGAUAUCUCGGCUCACGCAUCGAUGAAGAACGUAGCAAAAUGCGAUACUUGGUGUGAAUUGCAGAAUCCCGUGAACCAUCGAGUUUUUGAACGCAAGUUGCGCCCGAAGCCAUUCGGCCGAGGGCACGUCUGCCUGGGCGUCACGCAUCGCGUCGCCCCCGACCACGCCUCCCCUACAGGGAUGCGUCUCGUCUGGGGCGGAGACUGGUCUCCCGUGCCCAUGGUGCGGUUGGCCUAAAAAGGAGUCCCCUUUGACGGACGCACGGCUAGUGGUGGUUGUCAAGGCCUUCGUAUCGAGCCGUGCGGACGCAAGGGAAGCGCUCUCCAAAGACCCCAAUGCGUCGUC
rnacentral:misc_RNA from 1 species